rnacentral:rRNA from 1 species
UACGAAGGGGGCUAGCGUUGCUCGGAAUGACUGGGCGUAAAGGGCGCGUAGGCGGCUUGCACCGUCAGAUGUGAAAUUCCUGGGCUUAACCUGGGGGCUGCAUUUGAUACGUGUGGGCUUGAGUGCGGAAGAGGGUCGUGGAAUUCCCAGUGUAGAGGUGAAAUUCGUAGAUAUUGGGAAGAACACCGGUGGCGAAGGCAGCGACCUGGUCCGUGACUGACGCUGAGGCGCGAAAGCCAGGGGAGCAAACGGG